rnacentral:lncRNA from 1 species
AUGUGUCGUUUCAUGUUGCUUUAUCAUCCUUAUCCCAAAUGCUGUGAAGGCUAUGUUGUAGCACAACACUUUUCAUGAAUUAGCUUAGUUGUGAAUUUUUUAAACUCUUAGUCAUGUGAAUUGAAUCCAUUUCCAGAAUGUAAACUUAUUAAUUUACCAACCAAACACCUCAUUAUUAUUGUUUCUUUUUGUUGGAAAUCAUUUCAAAUCCAUCAAAUUUCCAAUUCCUUACAAAACAUUCGGCAAACCAAGUGCCACUAAAAAUUCAUUCAUUUUUUCUCUUCCUAGAUAUUUCAGACUAAUAGAUCUUAGCGGUGUUGUACAAAAAGGAAAUGUUUCAACAAAUUCACCUAGAACGAUAAUAACCAAUGAACAGAUUCCAUUUACUUCUGUCGUUUCCGGUCAUCUUCCUCGUCAUCUGAGUCACCGUGCUCACGGAAACGUGGAUUUCUCUCCUGUUCAAUCAUGAUCAGAGUUUCUUCUAGGUUCAUCUUCAGAAUUCCUCCUGGAGACAUCUGGGCCUCGACGGUCAUCUUCACGGUAUCU